rnacentral:rRNA from 1 species
UACGAAGGGGGCUAGCGUUGUUCGGAUUUAUUGGGUUUAAAGGGUGCGUAGGCGGCUUUUUAAGUCAGGGGUGAAAGACGGUAGCUCAACUAUCGCAGUGCCCUUGAUACUGAAGAGCUUGAAUGUACUUGAGGUAGGCGGAAUGUGACAAGUAGCGGUGAAAUGCAUAGAUAUGUCACAGAACACCAAUUGCGAAGGCAGCUUACUAAAGUAUGAUUGACGCUGAGGCACGAAAGCGUGGGGAUCAAACAGG